UGUACAUUCCCCGUUUCUGUGAAAUGAUUGGCUUUGUGCAAUUUGGUGAGGAAGCAGAUCUUUAUUUAUUUAUUUAUUUAUUUAUUUAUUUAUUUAUUAAGAGAUGAAGAGGUUUCACUCAUAAAAAGAUGGUCUCUGCAGGAAGAGUCCUCCUCUGGUACUUCACUGCCUCUGAAGAUGCUGAGCCAAGGAGCCUGAGAGUAGUGCAUUGCAUGCACUAUGCCUCAAGACUCCCUGAGUUCCAAAGAUCUUCUGGGAACCUCAUUCCAGAAGUAAAGCAGAGUGAUCUGUCCAGGGAACUGGCUCCAGUCUUUCAGGUAUGAUGUCAUAAUGAGUUUCUGGGACAGUCCUGGCUUUCCCAGCACCUCUGUCCUGGAUUAGUGCUGGGAGUCAGAGCCAGAGCAUUUAUGUUGUGGGAUCUUUGGUUUAUCUGCUUUGAAGAACAUCUGUAGCAGAAGAACGAGGACUGUGUCUGCUCUAUAGUCUCAGAGGAAGGCAGUAAAAGAUGACACAGCGGCUUCUUGCUGUCUCAUACUGAAUGCACCACCUGCGAAGAUAUGACUGAAGGCAAAAAGAAGGCAGUCUUCAUGGAGAGAAAACUUAACCCUUGCUAAAGGGGGUGUUUCAAAAGGCUGAAGUGCUAUUCACAUGAAAAAAAUGAGAAGGAUCAUAAACUCUAACAGAUUAAAUGUAUAAAUAAAACUUAACUGUCCAAAAGAGUUUGAGGAACAACUCACAGAAGUAAUAAAUCUUCAAAUGCAUCAAGAA